rnacentral:rRNA from 1 species
UACGUAGGGUGCGAGCGUUGUCCGGAAUUAUUGGGCGUAAAGAGCUUGUAGGUGGUUUGUCGCGUCUGCUGUGAAAAUCCGAGGCUCAACCUCGGACUUGCAGUGGGUACGGGCAGACUAGAGUGUGGUAGGGGAGACUGGAAUUCCUGGUGUAGCGGUGGAAUGCGCAGAUAUCAGGAGGAACACCGAUGGCGAAGGCAGGUCUCUGGGCCGAUACUGACGCU